CUUGUAUUUAGGUUUUACUUCUGAAUCAGUCAUCCGUUCUUUCUAGAGACGAUUUGAACUGGAACCCUUUAUCUCAAUUUGUCUUAUUGCUAAAAUGUGUUUGUUUGAAUAGAGUAUAGUUGUGGCCCAGAACACUCCUGAUUCAGAGUUUGUUUUUGCAAACCUGAAAGGUGGACUCCAGCCCAUUCCUACCUUCGUAGGAGUUAAUCUUGCUGCCAUAUGUUUCUGUAAAUUUAAAGUGUCUGAUCAAAUAAGCAGGAAGAUCAGCUAAUAAUAGUGUAUGUAUUUGACAGAUAUGUAGUGAGUUUUGUUUUAAAAUAUCCCAUAAGAAUCCUGCAAACUACUUCAUAUGUAGGAGUAAUUUCACUUAUCCCCAGGUGGGAGCCAGCAGCAGUUCAGCCAUGUGGAGCCACACAACAGAACCACCGUGGGAAAGAAAUGAAGAGGGUUUCUAGAGAUGAUUGAAACUGCGAGGGAGGUUGGACAAGCAGAAGUGUGCCUCUCUUCUGUGGGAAUAGAGAAGAAACUAAUUCCAAGAGACCAUAUAGGCACAUUUGGCUCCAUCACACUAGCUGGAUUGAAAUGAUAUUUCCUGAGCACUGACCUCUUCGACACUUAUGUGGACUCAGCAUCUCUAAUUGCUGUUAGUGUGAAUCAUCGAAAGCUGGUGCAUAAUUUCUCCAGACAUUUAUAGGAGAUCUACAGUAGACAUUUACUCUAAAUAACAAAAAUAAAGAAAUCCAUAAAUCCCA
rnacentral:lncRNA from 1 species